AAACUGGCUGCAGUGAUAGGAUGGGUUGGAAAGGUCCUUAAAGAGCGUAAAUGCGUGGAGAGAUAGAAUGGGUUGGGUUGGAAAGGUCCUCAAAGGUCACAGAACCACAGAAUGGGUUGGAAAGGUCCUCAAAGAUCAUAGAGUAAUAGAAUGGGUUGGGUUGGAAGGGUCCUCAAAGGUCUCAGAACCAUGGAAUGGGUUGGAAGGGUCCUCAAAGGUCACAGAACCAUGGAAUGGGUUGGAAGGGUCCUCAAAGGUCCCAGAACCAUGGAAUGGGUUGGAAGGGUCCUCAAAGGUCACAGAACCAUGGAAUGGGUUGGAAGGGUCCUCAAAGGUCACAGAACCAUGGAAUGGGUUGGAAGGGUCCUCAAAGGUCCCAGAACCAUGGAAUGGGUUGGAAGGGUCCUCAAAGGUCACAGAACCAUGGAAUGGGUUGGGUUGAAUGGAUCCUUAAAGGUCACAGAACCACGGGAUC